UCCAGACUCCUACGGGAGGCAGCAGUGGGGAAUAUUGCACAAUGGGGGAAACCCUGAUGCAGCAACGCCGCGUGAGUGAAGAAGUAUUUCGGUAUGUAAAGCUCUAUCAGCAGGGAAGAAAAUGACGGUACCUGACUAAGAAGCCCCGGCUAACUACGUGCCAGCAGCCGCGGUAAUACGUAGGGGGCAAGCGUUAUCCGGAUUUACUGGGUGUAAAGGGGGCGCAGACGGCAGCGCAAGCCAGGAGUGAAAGCCCGGGGCCCAACCCCGGGACUGCUCUUGGAACUGCGUGGCUGGAGUGCAGGAGGGGCAGGCGGAAUUCCUGGUGUAGCGGUGGAAUGCGUAGAUAUUAGGAGGAACACCAGUGGCGAAGGCGGCUUACUGGACUGUAACUGACGUUGAGGCUCGAAAGCGUGGGGAGCAAACAGGAUUAGAUACCCCAGUA
rnacentral:rRNA from 1 species